rnacentral:rRNA from 1 species
GUCCACGCCGUAAACGAUGAAUACUAGGUGUUGGGGAGCAAAGCUCUUCGGUGCCGCCGCAAACGCAUUAAGUAUUCCACCUGGGGAGUACGUUCGCAAGAAUGAAACUCAAAGGAAUUGAGGGGGACCCGCACAAGCGGUGGAGCAUGUGGUUUAAUUCGAAGCAACGCGAAGAACCUUACCAAGUCUUGACAUCCCUCUGACCGACUCUUAACCGAGUCUUUCCUUCGGGGACAGAGGAGACAGGUGGUGCAUGGUUGUCGU